rnacentral:rRNA from 1 species
UACGUAGGGGGGCAAGCGUUGUCCGGAUUUAUUGGGCGUAAAGAGCGUGUAGGCGGCCAAGCAGGUCCGCUGUGAAAACUCGAGGCUCAACCUCGAGAGGUCGGUGGAAACCGUUUGGCUAGAGUCCGGAAGAGGAGAGUGGAAUUCCCGGUGUAGCGGUGAAAUGCGCAGAUAUCGGGAAGAACACCCGUGGCGAAGGCGGCGACCUGGGUAGAUACUGACGCUGAGGUGCGAAAGCGUGGGGAGCAAACAGG